UUGGAAAGCUUUUGGGAGCGACGGCUUCAGCUAGUCAGUAUAGAUGAGUCAUCCUGAUAGAUUCCAGAAGAACUGAAUGCUCUAUGAAAAUGUGCUUGAAGAAACUACGAGGGCCAUAGACACCCGAACAUAUUCGUUGUUUGUUUUGUUUUAUUAAACAGAAUUAGCGUAUGACUAGUUCGUACAUCCGCCUCAAAAAUCGGAGGUUCCGAGUUCAAAGCUCAGCCCUGGACUACUGUGUAGCGUUGGCGUGUUCUCCCCAUGCUUGUCAUAUCCACCCCCAGGCCCUCCCCAAGACUGUGGCUGAUCUCAACCUUUCAUAAAGACUCUAGAUGUGUUUUUCUCGAAGUACAUUUGAAAGCUAAGCGCCACUGACUUGUAUUUGGAGUUUGACUGAAACGCACCGCUGCGUUCCCCCCCUCGCUGCUUGACGUAGAAGCCUCCACGGUGGCGUACACAGAAACACGGGGUUUGAUAAAUCUCCCUUCAAUGGGGGACACACAAUCCAUCCCCGCCGCCCCUGGGUGUAAUCUCACUCUGCGGUGCCGUUGUUUAAUCCGAAAUCAAACGUCUCCCGAGGUGGCUAAAAUGAAAGAGGAACAUUUUCUGAGUGAUUAGCCGGUGACUGGCAAGCAAACAGAAGGGAAAUACGCUCACGCAAAACGCGCGUGCAAUAUUUAUGGGAGGGGAUGUGGCUGAUUGACUGGCGGAAGGUCUGCUGUCCCCUCAGACCGCAGCAGCGCAGUCUCAUGUUGGAUGAGUGAGUGAAUAACAGCAACUGCCAUGUAAAAAAAGAAACUCAUCGGGAAGUCUUGAUUCAAAACUUAACAAGUCAAAAUGAAUCACAAUGAAACAAGGCUCUCCUUCGAACGUGUUGCAGUUCGAAGAGCAGCUUUUGACUUUUACUGUAAAUGGGAACCAUUCACAAGCAAUAAAUGAACCGCAUUUUGGGCAAAUUGACCUCUGGGGACUAGUUAGAAAGCCACAGAGAUGUUCGCGGCGGUAGCUGCUCUAGGUCACCGUUGGCAUUCAAAUUGAUUACGGCCGGGAUGGGGCAACUUAAAUCCUGGAAGGGGGGGUGCACAAUUUUUCAUCAGUGCUACUCAGGUGCCACAUAGGAUCACACACUUCAUGCUAUUUUAAAUCCAAGUGCAAAAUAUGUUCUCUUGAUACAUGUAAUUUUUCAUCGUACCUUUUUCAAUGUGCGACAAGAGCCACUAAACCAACCCAACAAAAAAAGAACUAUGUACUGUUUUGUUUUUUCCAGUGCAAAGGGCUCUUAAAUGAAAAUUACCAUUCAAGGACUGCACAAAACUGACCAUGGCUUUCAGUCUCUAAAAUAAUCAUACCGAUGAAGGAGAAAUGUCCCGCAGAAGUGAAUCAACAGCAGUGCACACCAUAUCUUCUAUCUUCCAGUUACGAUAUUUUGCAUCAACAAUGAAAAUUGUCCCCCCCCCCAAAAAAAAAUGCAACAGUGAUGUCAGCUGAAUUGAAAAUAGUAAUAAUAAUAAUAAUUUGAAUUGAAUCAAAAUGGCUCCACCAACUCAAAAGACACUUAACUAUCUUUUGAUUUGGUGGAGCCAGUUAGAUUAGUUUCCCUUGACCCUGAUGACAAAAAUAAUUGAAUUUUGAAAUUGAAUGUGUUCUUCACCAGCUCGUCAAUAAUAGAGACGUGACGGUGAAUUUUUUUCCUGCUGAUCACUGCAUGUCAUCACAAGUGGAACACCACUCAGUGGUUUUUAAUACAACAGAUACAGUACCACACUGUACUUGGCUUCAGCUAUCUCCCGGCAAGAAUAAAAGCAGAAAAUCCUCUCUCUCCAUGUGAACCCUUUUUAUUCAUUUCCAAAACGCACGCCACCAAAUUUUAGAUAAGGAAGAUUCGAAUAUCCCCGUGUAUUUUGAAGGUAACACAUACCAAGUGAGCUCAUAAGGAAGAUAAGACGGAAGGUGGCUAAUGUUUGAUGGACUGCUGUUAUGAUCGAAUGACGGCUCAAAGGUCUAAAUCUGCUUUUUGAUCCGCCUUCACGCUUCACCCCAGAGGGAAUAGAAAUCUUUUACCGGCGUCCUGUCGGUUGCGCCGCCAUGGUGGAGCUGGCUUUCUACCCAGGCGUGGCCCUGAUGUACUUUUUUGCCGUGAUGAACGCCACCAAGUCGGAUCGGAUUGAACUGGAUGAUCGGGCGUCAAUGAACGUCUUCUGUCUGUUUGUACUGGCGCAGCCACUGUGUUUGGUACUGGGAGGAUACACCGGCAUGGCCACGUACCUCCUCACCGCGCUGGUCUCCUACAACUUCCUGCCAUGGAAGAAGACGAAACAGAUGACAAAAGACCCAAAGAAGACAAAGUGAAACAAAAUAUUGGGGGGUGGAGGGGGAAUGUUUCGUUUACAUCAAGUUGAAUGACAAAAGACAUGUCCGAGUAUUGUGACUAAAUGGACCAUUUAAUGUUUUUCUUCUCCCUUUUUUUUGGCUUGGUAAUUUAUUGUUAGUAAAAAGUAAAAGCAAUGAAAUGAAAAGACAUAUGGAUGAAACAAGAAAAAAUUCCUAAAUAUAUAUUUUGCUGGUCAGGGUAAAAAUGAAGUACUUUUUUUUUUGUUAGAAUGAUCACAAAGGAUUUAUUUUUUUCAAGCAGAUAAGGUUAAGGUUCUACAUAACUUGCAUUCUUAGAAAAAAUGUUUUUCAAGAUUCUCCAGGGAGGGGGGGGUGGUUCUCCAAAUUUUUGUGGCUAUAGGAAGACAAAUGAAAAUGCCCGUGUGAAACGAAUUUGUCCUAAUGAGUAGAAACUAAUGGAUACAUUGGUGUUAUUUGCGUUUAUUUUUUUCCAUUGUAGAAAUUCAUAUUACCAAUAAAUGCUGUACGAUGAGAAAGCCAAAUUAUUUUCCUUUUAAAUGAUCCAAUUUUUGAGGAGUUGUGUGAUGAGGCACGCACAUGAGAAUGUACGCUACACCCGUUCAAAAUGUGCCAAAGCUUCUCUGCAUCUUGUAUUUUUUUUUCUGCUGACCAAACAUGGACUGAUUUACGAGGAAACAAGACACGUUUGCAGUUUAACAAACAGUCCAGAUAGCGUUCGAUAGCGACUGUGGAGAUAAUGGAUUGCUGUCUCGAUAUUCCUCUGCAUUUGAAUUAUGGUCUUUAUUUAAAUACCACCAAAAUCUGACAUUUGAACAUGGGUGUGUAGACAUUUUAUAACAGCUGCAAUAAGCAGUUUGCCACCGGCGGUGAAUAUUUGGCACACUGGGGCAAAAUACAUCCCCGGUCGUGCUGUUCAUCUCACAAAUGCCUUUCGCUUUCCCUCCACAUGUGACAUCAUUAAAAGGACAAUAAACUG